UCAAGUUGAUUGGACUUCAGCUUCACCAAAAACUACCUUGACCAAAAACUUUAACCUGAAACUCCCACUUUCAUUUUCUAUGUUCAGUGGACCGUGAAAUUGGGGUCAAAAGUCUAAUUUGGCUUUAAAAUUAGAAAGAUCAUAUCAUAAGCAACAAGUCUACUAAGUUUCAAGUUGAUUGGACUUCAGCUUCAUCAAAAACUACCUUGACCAAAAACUUUAACCUGAACGGACGGACGGACAGACGAACGCACAGACGAACGGAGCCACAGACCAGAAAACAUAAUGCCUUUCUACUAUCGUAGGUGGGCAUAAAAAGAAAGAGUUCAGAUGAUCAAGUUCUUUGAAGAAAGAGAAAGGG
rnacentral:lncRNA from 1 species